UGAUUUCAGAGAGGUGCUUGCAUUCUAUCCUGAUGCCAUCUAGAGUGUAAAUGCCCAAUGUCACACUGCUGAGAAAGGAAUGCCUGGCUCUCAUCUCAUCGGUUGCCCAGAGGAACCUGCUAUCCUGCCUGAAGAAGGUCGGGUCACGUGGAUAGUUCUUGCCAACUGAUUGGAAGAGGAAGUUUUGUGCAGCAUCUGGUCUAAAUCAGCAAAGCGUGCAAGAAUGUGCUGGGUGAGUGUGGGCAAAGGGCCAGAAGAGAACUUCAAGCUUAGUCAAGCGACAAAUCACUAAGGGAUGUGUAAGCCACAGCUACAUUAAGGACUUUGAAUUUUAUUUGGAACAGAAGGUAAUCAUUGCUCAUUUUCUUUCACU